rnacentral:rRNA from 1 species
AUUGAACGCUGGCGGCAUGCUUUACACAUGCAAGUCGGACGGCAGCGGGGGUGCUUGCACCUGCCAGCGAGUGGCGAACGGGUGAGUAACAUAUCGGAACGUACCGAGCAGUGGGGGAUAACUAAUCGAAAGAUUAGCUAAUACCGCAUAUAUUCUGAGGAAGAAAGCAGGGGACCAUUUGGCCUUGCGCUGUUUGAGCGGCCGAUAUCUGAUUAGCUGGUUGGUGGGGUAAAGCCACCAAGGCGACGAUCAGUACGGGUCUGAGAGGAUGAUCCGCCACACUGGGAUGAGACCGGCCCAGACUCCACGGGAGGCAGCAGUGGGGAAUUUUGGACAAUGGGCGCAAGCCUGAUCCAGCCAUGCCGCGUGUCUGAAGAAGGCCUUCGGGUUGUAAAGGACUUUUGUCAGGGAAGAAAAGGACAGGGUUAAUACCCCUGUCUGAUGACGGUAC